rnacentral:rRNA from 1 species
GUAACGCUGGCGGUAUGCCUAACACAUGAAAGUCGAACGAAAGUUUAUCCCCUUUAGUUGGCGGACGGGUGAGUAUACGAGAAUCUACCUUUAGAAGGGAAUAACAAUUGGAAACGAUUGCUAAUGCCCUAUAUGCUUAGCAGUGAAACAGAUUUAUCUGCCUGAAGAUGAGCUCGCGCCUGAUUAGCUAGUUGGUAGAGUAAAAGCCUACCAAGGCAACGAUCAGUAGCUGGUUUGAGAGGACGAUCAGCCACACUGGGACUGAGACACGGCCCAGACUUCUACGGAAGGCAGCAGAGGGGAAUUUUCCGCAAUGAGCGAAAGCUUGACGGAGCAAUACCGCGUGGAGGAUGAAGGCUUGUGAGUCGUAAACUCCUUUUCUUAGCGAAGAAACAAGACGGUAACUAAGGAAUAAGCAUCGGCUAACUCCGUGCCCAGCAGCCGCGGGUAAUACGGAGGAUGCAAAGGCGUUACAUUCGGAAAUUAAUUGGGCGUAAAAGCCGGUCUGUAGGGUUGGCACUUUAUAAAGAUUCUUA